AAUUUUGGACAAUGGGGGCAACCCUGAUCCAGCCAUCCCGCGUGUGCGAUGAAGGCCUUCGGGUUGUAAAGCACUUUUGGCAGGGAAGAAAAGGCUCUGGCUCAUACCCGGAGCUGCUGACUGUCCCUCCAGAAUAAGCACCGGCUCACUACGCGCCAGCAGCCGCGGUAAUACGUAGGGGGCAAGCGUUAAUCGGAAUUACUGGGCGCAAAGCGUGCGCAGGCGGUUCGGCAAGAAGGAUGUGAAAUCCCAGGGCUUAACCUUGGAACUGCAUUCUUAACUGCCGGGCUAGAGUAUGUCAGAGGGGGGUAGAAUUCCGCGUGUAGCAGUGAAAUGCGUAGAGAUGCGGAGGAAUACCGAUGGCGAAGGCAGCCCCCUGGGAUAAUACUGACGCUCACGCACGAGAGCGUGGGGAGCAAAC
rnacentral:rRNA from 1 species